GUUGAUGGCCUUUCAGUUUGUAUAAAUCUUUGCCUUUUACUAAAGAUUUCCGUGGAGAGGAACAUUUAUGUUUGUUUGACCACUGAGACUUUUUUGUUACAUUUUAAAAGGAGGAUUA